rnacentral:rRNA from 1 species
UACGUAGGGGGCAAGCGUUGGUCCGGAUUUAUUGGGCGUAAAGAGCUCGGUAGGCGGUCUGUCGCGUCGAUCGUGAAAACUUGGGGCUUAACCCUGAGCUUGCGGUCGAUACGGGCAUGACUGGAGUUCGGCAGGGGAGACUGGAAUUCCUGGUGUAGCGGUGAAAAUGCGCAGAUAAUCAGGAGGAACACCGGUGGCGAAGGCGGGUCUCUGGGCCGAUACUGACGCUGAGGAGCGAAAAGCGUGGGGGGAGCGAACAGG